GCCCGGGUGGUGAAAUGGUAGACACGACGGUCUUAGAAGCCGUUGCCUUACGGUGUGAGAGUUCAAGUCUCUCUCCGGGCA
rnacentral:tRNA from 1 species